rnacentral:misc_RNA from 1 species
GAUGAAGAACGCAGCGAAAUGCGAUACGUAAUGUGAAUUGCAAAUUCAGUGAAUCAUCGAGUCUUUGAACGCACAUUGCGCCCCCUGGUAUUCCGGGGGGCAUGCCUGUCCGAGCGUCAUUGCUGCCCUCAAGCACGGCUUGUGUGUUGGGCCCCGUCCUCCGAUCCCGGGGGACGGGCCCGAAAGGCAGCGGCGGCACCGCGUCCGGUCCUCGAGCGUAUGGGGCUUUGUUACCCGCUCUGUAGGCCCGGCCGGCGCUUGCCGAUCAACCCAAAUUUUUUAUCCAGGUUGACCUCGGAUCAGGUAGGGAUACCCGCUGAACUUAAGCAUAUCAAUAAGCGGAGGA